GGAUUUUGAUACAGUGGCAGCUGGGAAGCCAAGAACAGAAAGCCUUUAAUCCGUGCAACCUAAUGCCAAGAUUCCGCCAGAGAGAGCCCAUUUCCUGCGCUGUCUGCACAUUCCUCCCAUUCUUCCCGAGCACCUUCUCCCAGUGACCCCUCUCCAUGCAGCCUCUGUUCUCCCCCCACGGCUAACUGCUCCUUUCUUCUAGAAAACAAGUCCUGUGGCCAGAAGGAUUCCAUAUACUUCUGCUUUCUCUUCGAGAUCCCCAGGUCCUUAGGAGCUUUUCCUUUCUCCUCCGGAUGCUUCGUUUGGCCUCUGCCACACACCAGGGCAUCGCCGGGAUGCGCGGGGACAAAGCAUCGUAGCCACUUUUAAGGUCCCUGCCCAGACCACGACUCUCGGAACCGUUGGCCAUACCAGCAGAGUGAGGCCCCAACACUGUGUUUAUACUUCGUGACCCCAGACGUGGACUGUAGGUGACUGCACAAGAGAUGGACAGCUGUCCAGGGUGAAGAUGUCAAAUGUACGUCUCUCUGGGGACCUCCAAGUGGUCUGUCGGGACCACGGUUCCUCCUCCUCACUCCUCAGUCCCCCACAACACGGGCACCAGCGACACCUGCAUGUCAUCCCACCUGCCUGCCACUGCGGCUGCAUCGCAGGAAUUUCCACCCAGUCGUGACCUUCUCUCCUCAGACCACUACCUCUGCUGCUGCCCGGGCCUGGUACAUUGGACCCCCAGUGAAUCUCUGUUGUGCUUCCAGUUUGGGUUUUGGCUUUGGGGAGGGAGUGGUGGACAAGGGGCAGGUGCCUGUUGGGACCAGCGAAGCCCAGGAAGCAGGCUUGAACCCCUGAGCACUCUCGCCGCUGCCGCUCGGGGGCUGGGCGGGGAUGGCGGGACCAUCCAGCAGGUCCUCCAGGGUAGGCCGGGCUACAGGGGUCCUGGCGCAUGACUGCGUCUCAGCCCUGCCAGCGCAGCAGCAGUCUCUCACUGCCAUGGCCGUGUCCGCACAAUAGCGGAGAGGCUAGGCGGAAAAUCGAUACAGAAUAACUUUUCCUAAUUCCAUUUUGCACCGGCAUCAGUGAGCCCCAGGACGGUUUGCGGCGUCAUUCAGAGAGCACUCCUGCCACUCCAAGGCAGGAGGCGGAGGCGGACUCACCUGGGACCUUGUCAGGAGGAGAAUCUCAGUCCCUGCCCAGGACCUAAUGAAUUCAAAUCUGCAUUUUAAGACCCCCAGAGAUCCGUGCAGACAUUUCAAGUUAGAGGAGCUCUGGUUCAGGAAUGCCGGUGUCCUAACCAACUAAGCAGCUGCCGCGAUUUCUCAUCACCGGCCACGGUGAAGACGUCGGUGUGAGAUGCGUCCUUUCUCUCCGUAAGCGCUGCCUUCCGCUGAUGAUGUUCCUUUCCAUCUGGCAUUAAAAAUGUGCUUUGCUUUAGGAAGAGUGAUUCUGAGUAUAGUUUUGUUCGGUUCUUACCCAUGUCUUCUGUAGGCAAAAUAAAACGUAGUUACUGA